rnacentral:rRNA from 1 species
GUGUCAGCAGCCGCGGUAAUACAGAGGUCCCAAGCGUUACUGAGAAUCACUGGGUUUAAAGGGUGCGUAGGUGGUCCGUUAAGUUCGUUGUGAAAUCCCUGGGCUCAACCCAGGAACUGCUUCGAAUACUGGCGGACUUGAGGCCAGUAGGGGUCACUAGAACUGACGGUGGAGCGGUGAAAUGCGUAGAUAUCGUCAGGAAUGCCGGUGGUGAAGACGGGUGACUGGGCUGGUUCUGACACUGAGGCACGAAAGCGUGGGGAGCGAACGGGAUUAGAAACCCCCGUAGUCC